rnacentral:rRNA from 1 species
AGAGUUCGAUUCUGGCUCAGGAUGAACGCUGGCGGCGUGCUUAACACAUGCAAGUCGAACGGGAAACCUAUUAUUGAAACUUCGGUUGAUUUAAUUUGUUUCUAGUGGCGGACGGGUGAGUAACGCGUGGGUAACCUGCCCUAUACAGGGGGAUAACAACCAGAAAUGGUUGCUAAUACCGCAUAAGCGCACGGGACCGCAUGGUCCAGUGUGAAAAACUCCGGUGGUAUAGGAUGGACCCGCGUUGGAUUAGCUAGUUGGUGGGGUAACGGCCCACCAAGGCGACGAUCCAUAGCCGGCCUGAGAGGGUGAACGGCCACAUUGGGACUGAGACACGGCCCAG